rnacentral:misc_RNA from 1 species
GAAAUGCGAUAAGUAGUGUGAAUUGCAGAAUUCAGUGAAUCAUCGAAUCUUUGAACGCACAUUGCGCCCCUUGGUAUUCCAUGGGGCAUGCCUGUUCGAGCGUCAUUUGUACCCUCAAGCUCUGCUUGGUGUUGGGUGUUUGUCCCGUCUCCGCGCGUGGACUCGCCCCAAAGUGAUUGGCAGCCGGCGUACUGGUCCCGGAGCGCAGCACAUGUCGCGCAAACGAGUGCCUUGGUACGGCGGCGUCCAUAAGCCCCUCUCUCACGCUCUUGACCUCGGAUCGGGUAGGGAUACCCGCUGAACUUAAGC